UGCGGCGUCUUGCCGAACUCCUCCGACCGUCCGAGCUUCCAACAAAUAAAUUUCCUUCAGACCCCUCUAGCGGUCGACCUUCCAUAGUGUCUUCUAGAUUCCUCCAACGGACGAACUCCUACCAUACUCUCCAGACUUCUUCGAUAAUGAGCUCCUUCAGUCAUCUAUCGGACUGCUCCAAAUGCUCUCUGGGCAUCGC
rnacentral:lncRNA from 1 species